AACAACAUAAGUUUGAAGUCUUGAUUAGUGAACCAAGUUCCAAUAACUUGCCAUGCCAAAAAGAAAAUGGGAAAUGAUCUUGUAUUGGUUUAAGUCCUUUGCAUGAUUUAGGAAGCAAUCUAUCCUUAAUGCAAAGCCAUUCACUUGAUCAUUUGAUCAAGAUGAAUUAGAUUUGAAUCAAGGAAGAUUAAACCUCCCUAAUCAAUGCUAACUUAUCAACCCUUAACUCAUUGAUCAAAAAGAAAAGAAGAAGAAGAAGGAGAUGAAUAAUGGAUAACGAAAAUGGAAAGAAUAAAGUGCAUUUAGUGAAUUGGAAUGUACCAGUCAACAAGUGUUGACCAAUGACAUUGAAGAUCAUGGUCAAACAAUCAAAAAACAGAAGUGAGAUGAAGAUUGGAAGUCAAGAAAUGAACAAAAUAUUUUUAGGCAUUUUUAAUAUUCAAAAUAAACCUGAAUUAAAAUAUUAAAGAAAGGUCAAACUUCAAAAUCACUUCAAAUCAACUUUGAAAUGUCCAAGUGAUUUAUCCUAAGUUCAACAAGGUCAAAC
rnacentral:lncRNA from 1 species